UGCUCUAUCUUUCAGUUGGUCUCUGUCUGCUUAUGCAUGUGGCCACAGGGGAUACGUGCACAUGUAGUUAAGUACGGCCAUCAUUUAAGAAAGGACUGAUUUCACAGCGGAAGUUCUCAGAUCUUCUCAGAGAGAGAGUUAUAUCCCAUAGGCCACAAUGAUUCCGGAAAUACAUUUGCUUAAGAAGGUUACACCAAUUUCCUAUGAUGAAUGGCCCCACUGGACACCGAGGAAUAAGGUGGAAUCGAACGCUAUUUUGUUUGGUGGCAGAUCCCAUAAUGGAAUCAAGAAUUACAUUUAUAUGAGCUAACCACGGGGGACGGACAUGUUCGCCGCUCCACACAGACCGAUCAGGGCAUCACCGGAUCAAGGACUGUACGUAUGACGUCACGCAUUGAUUGGGAAGCUAUUUGCGGAGCUGGCGAUCAUGUGGUCAUUUCCUCAUAGACAGGGACGUAUAUUACUGGUGGUAUCGGAGAGAACGAUGCCACGAUAGGUAUUAUUUUGGAAGUAAAGAUGCUCUCAUCACCAUAA